UUCAUACCUCAUAAUUUAUAUUUGUUUGAUUAUUAAGAUGCCACAGAUGUUUUCAUUACUUUAAAAACGAACUUCUAGUUUUAUACCAGUUCUAAAUUUAAGAACUACAGAGAAGGCAGCACAGAGAGCUCCUGCAUCCACCCAGGUCCCACUGCUGACGUGUCAUGCUGUCAGCGUGGUGCGUUUGUCACCACCCAUGAACCACACGGGUGCAUCGCCGUAAGUAAAGCCCACACUCGAGGCCGAUUUCCUUAGUUUCCACUUCACAUCCUCCUUCUGUUCCAGGAUCCCGUUCACGACACCGCCUCACAUAUAGUCAUUGUGUCUCCUUAGGCUCCUCUUGGUGGUGGCUGUUUCUUUGGUUCUUGUUUUUGAUGACCUUGACAGUUUAAGGAGCACUGAUCAGGAAUUCUGCAGAUGACCUCAACAGUUGUAAGGAGUGCUGAUCAGGAAUUCUGUGGAAUGUCUUGCAGUUGGGAUUUGUCUGAUGUCUUUCUCAUGGUUACACCGGGGUUUGUGCUCUUGGAAGGAGGCCCACAGAGGAAAGGGGCCCUUCUCGUCCAUGUGUCAAGGGAACGAGACAGGUCCGAGAAUUCAGUGUGAAGUGGAAAGAGUUUGCCCAAGGAGGCAUCGGUCGGUCACUGGCGACAGUUUAACCACAUGACAACCUCAGGCAAAGCUCUCAUCCGCCCAGUGAGGAGCCUCUCAACAGGACAUAGAAGAACUUGGACGUUUAAGUUUUCUUGGAAGAUGAAGGGGUGAUGAACCAGCUAAUGCCAACCGUUUCCAGGAGAUGGGGAACAGGCUAUGACUGGUGAGAGGGGGAGUGAAUUUUAGCUGCCAUCUGUCUGGAACUACAGUGUGACAAGUCAACUCACAACAGGCCUAUGCUAAUUUCUGAGGGGACCAAUGAGGUGGACACUGCUUACCUAGAAGUGGAAGGAAGGAUGUCAUGCCUGCUCUCUGUUGAAGUAAAGCAUGGGGACGUGGAGGCCCUGUGCCACUGUGCACUCUGUGCACUGUGCAAGCAAGGGCUUGUCGCUGAAUGGGAUGCAGAUCCACCUCUGCUUUGCCAGCAUAAAGGGCCCGCGUGUGUGAUCUUGAGCAUGGGUAUCUGACCUUGUGCAGAGCGCAGGGGCUGGAGCAGUGCGGGUGGGCCCCAGACAGGCUCCUCUCACACCUUGGGUCAGACGUGUCCCGGGCAACUGGCAAGCCCCAGCCUGGAAGCAGACUCACACCCUAUCACAGUAUGCCGCUGCCAGCAGGGGUGGUGGUGGCUGGGGGCAGGCUUUGCUUGGUUUCCAGGAAGCACAGACAACCAACACAAAAGCAAUCAUACCAAAGGAGACUUGAGGACUGGGAGUGGGGAGGGCGCGAGGUCGGAGCGUGGUGCCCCAUGCCAUGUAGCAGGGCUGCUGGAGGGAAAAAGUACCAUGCUUGUCACCAAAGCCACAGGUAUCUUUUUUAAAAGGCAGCUUUUUAUGAUAUGACUCACAUAUUAUAUAAUUUAUUCACUUAAAAUGUACAAUUCAGUGGGUUUUUGUAUAUUCAAUAUUGUGCAACAAUCAACACAGCCAAUUUUAGAAGACAUUUUUCACCCCCAAACAAAACCCUGCACCCCAUGAUCCCCCCACCCCCCAGCUGCAGGAAACCACUAACCGACUCUCUGUUUCUGUAGAUUUGCCCGUGAUGGGUAGUGCCUAUAAAUCAAAUCGCACACUA